rnacentral:misc_RNA from 1 species
AGAAAAUGAAAUCCCAAACACCAAAACCCAAUGCGCGCGCGGGAGUAUGCAGAGCAGUCUCCGAAUCCGACCGCCACACCGCGUACCAAUCCAACCCCACCGAAGAAUCCCCGUCCAUCGAAGACGGUCGGUUGCAGCAAUCACCAUUCACCUACCUGGAGGAGGAGAGGGCGGAGGUGGGGCGCGGCCGGCAAGAACGACGCGUCGACGGGCACGGGCGGGCGGGCAGGAAGGAUCUGAGAUUUUGGGGUCCUGUCCCGUUCCCGUCCCGAGCCCCCGCACGGCUCGGUCUUCGGUCUUCCUGCCCUCCUCGCCGACCUG